AGGAUGAAGCUCAGAAAUUUGCUUUUUAAAAAAUCUUACUCUUUAUUUUUAUCUCUAGUGAGGUAUAAUUAACAAAUAAAAAGUAUAACUUAAGGUACACAAUGUAAUGUUUUGAUAUACAUCUACAUGGUGAAAUAAUCACCACAAAGAAACUUGCAUUUUUAACAAACUCCUCAGGAGACUUAUAAAGGCAUUCAAGUUUGAGAAUAUGGGCCCUAGAGAUUAAAGAAAUUGCCCAGAUUCACACCCUCCCCCACUCACUCUCACACUUACUCACACUCACGUGUGGAGCUAAGACUGGAAUUCAGCUCUUCUAGUCUAGUGUCCUUCCCACGAAAACCCUGUCCCACUAAGUUGACAUGGUUACCCAUCACCAACAAGUCUGUACCACGGAGUUUCUAAGAUGCUUAUCAGGAACUCAGAUUCUAUCAUUUUCUUUUCUUUUUUUUCCUUCCUUCCUUCCUUCCUUCCUUCCUUCCUUCCUUCCUUCCUUCCUUCCUUCCUUCCUCCCUCCCUCCCUCCCUCUCUCUCUGUUUCACUCUUUCUCUCUUUCUUUCUUUCUUUUUUGUGACAGGGUCUCGUGCUUUCACCCAGACUGGAGUGCAGUGUCAAGAUCAUAGCUCACUGCAACCUCGAAUGCCUCAGCCUCCUGAGUGGCUGGGAUUACAGAUGUGCACCACUACGCCUGGCUAACUUUUGUAUUUUCUGUAGAGAUGGGGUCUUGCCAUGUUGCCCAGGUUGUUCUGAAACUCCUUAUCUGAAGUGAUCCUCCAGCCUUGGCCUCCCGAAGUGUUGGGAUUAUAGGCGUGAGACACCACACCUGGCCUAAAUUCUCUCAUUUUCUUUGGGGAGCAGGAUUCAGAUGAUUUUUUUACUCAUAUGUAAAAGCAAACUUCUCACCAAGGUAUAAACUAGCCCUCACAGCGCCUCACAGCCCUGCACAUGCUAUUCGUGUGACCUGGAAAUGCCUGUCCUGCCAUUAUUCAGCUGCCGUUUGUCUUCCAGGAAGCCUUCCUGAACUAGACUGCAAAUCAUCUCUCCAACCUCUUGGACCCCGAGCAUGUAAAUUCUACUUGGUUAAUUUGCCAAUGCUUUUAAUCUGUGAUACAUGCUCAUUUAAUCUUUUAUUCACAGAUACUUAUUCAGAAUCUACAGUGUGCAAGCAGUGCCUGUGUUUUGAUUACAAUCCCUUCCAUGAAAAUAUUAAUAAAACCAGACAUUGCCUCAACUCCACAAAUGCAGAAUAGUCUGCAGUCACCCAUAGUAGUGUGGAAACAGGAUUCCAGGUGCACUUCUCUGAUCCUGCUGGUCUUUCUUCCUCUUUCUCUUCCUUGCCAACCCCUGCCUGACCAUCACCUUUAUUUUUCAG
rnacentral:lncRNA from 1 species